UUUUGAUAAAAAAAAGCGGAAGAAGUAAAAAAUAAAGACAUUGUAAAUAAUUACACAAAGUUGAUGGCCACUCGUAAAGUUAUGGAAGUUUCUGCUUCUACUGGAAAUUUAAAUAACAAACGAUUUAGACUCUGAUGACACCUUCAUACUUGACACUAGCAACAGUAACUUUAUUGAUUCAUUAACAGACUCAAAUGCUAUUGUAAGUGGAACAAAGAUUACGAGUAUAGAAACUAUUCCCGAAAUUGCAAGUGCAUCAAAUACAAGAAUCUCAGAAUUAAUAAAUCUGACAGCACAAAGUGCACCAAGAUCUUCAAUUCGAAGACAUUCUGCACCAUUUGAUGCAAGGCCCAAGGAAGAUCAAGUCUCAGGUCGGCAGCAAAUUGAAAGAAGAGCCUCUCUCGCAUCUCUUAGUUCAAGAAGAGCAGACAUUGAAAAUGAUGCUUUUAUACACGUUCCAAAACGUUUCGAAAUACCUGAGGAUUGGAUCAACCUUUAUGAAAAUACUUCGAUUCAUGCUGACAUUUGGGACAUGAUGAAAACUUAUUCUGACUCAAGGUUUGUUCGGGAAAUAGCUCAAAAGUUAUGGGGCACGGACGUUCUUCAAAUGAGAUGCUUAAAUGCUCAGAGAGCAAAUAACGGAAAGGAAAAUGCCCCCGAGGAAUACAGAUUGCCUUUAACUCCUGAAAAAUUUGAAGUAGUAAAAGGUAAGAUAAUAUUUUCGAAAAUUUAAAAGUAAUUUCCAAAAAAUAUGAGUUU